AGACCCCAUGGAGCUUUAAACCUGACAGCACCCGCUCAUUCUAUACCCCAUUAUUUGCCCGACCCCUGUCUGCUCAGUUUUAGGUUGGGGUGACCACGGAGUAUAAAAUAACCUCCAUGAAGAAGGGGAUAUUUCCCUUAUUAGAGAACCACACUUCCAAGAACUAAUAAAUUAAUUUUCAAUGACCCGAUACCCGAUAAUCGAUCAACGAACCAAGUUACCCUGGGGAUAACAGCGCAAUCCACCCUGAAAGCCCUUAUUAACAGGUGGGUUUACGACCUCGAUGUUGGAUCAGGGUAUCCCAGUGGUGCAGCAGCUACUGAGGGUUCGUUUGUUCAACGAUUAA
rnacentral:rRNA from 1 species